AGUAAAGUUAGCUAAAAAGCUUUCAGGCCCAUACCCUGAACAUGACGGUUAAAAUCCUUCCUUUACCA
rnacentral:tRNA from 1 species